AUUCUACAAUCCAAAUAGUUUAUUAUAUUUCAACCACUGUUAACAGCCAAAAAAUAAAUAUCACUUGGAUAAAUAAAUAAACUUAUUGUACUUCAAGAAUACCCAUUGACGAAUACAUAAUAAUAUAAUGAACUUGAGGUCAAAGUUCGCUAUAUACAAAUGAACAUACAAGUAUGUACGGUACUAUAUGUACAUGAUUAUUGCAACAAUACACGUCUGGGGACACUUCAUACAGUGCCCAAAAAAUAGGUCGGAGUUUCGCUAAUUAGUUUCGAUAGUGUCAUUUCUAAUUAUACAACUUAAUACACAACUUAAAAUAAUGAGUUACAAUACUCUAUACGGUGCUUAUUUAAGUAUUUUAAAGAUAUAUUCGAAUUUCGGAAAAAAAAUAUCAGUUUUUAUAAGAAAUAUAACAAUUACACAACAACCAACAUUGUUUUUAAAGAAAAAUCAAUCAUUACUGACUAUGGGUAUAUUUAACUAAGAGACUGCCCAAAAAAAGGAGUUCAACAUUUUCAGGUUUCAUAUAUGUGUUUCUUUAUUGCACCAUAACUUCUAAAUGCCUGAAUAGAUUUAGAUUAUGUGGUAUCGUUAGAAUCCUAACAGCAUCCCGAGUGACACUGGUUAUGAAUUUUUGAAACCAAUUCAAUAUGGCAGGGCAGUUGUUAUUUUUUUUUUUUUUUAAUUAUUACUUGUUUACUUCAGUACACACUAUCUAUAUCUCGAACCUGGGGCCACUUGUAUAGGAGACUUUCACUGCUACGCAAGAGAACAACAGGUUGUCAUGUAUUUUGAACACGAGAAUAAUUAAUGUACAUUUUAUAUUUACUAGAAGUAGUAGAUAUCGCGACACACUGAUUGAUUACUAUGGUGAUUAAACACAGUGCACUUACUAACUAAUUAAAGGUCAUAGCUCAUUAGACCCGCCCGGCAUCUAACCAGCACCUCGAGUGGUUAGUAUUUUUUUUUGUAUGGAGCACAAUGAGUUUACUCUCUCUACAUCACUGGAGCGCCUCACCAGCGGGCUGACCAGGCGCGGACGGCGAGUGGACCAUACGCCUGCGAGUGGUUGCGCGCGAGGACAAUGGAUCGGCGGCGCGCCGCUCCCCCAACCCUUAAUUUCUAGCGUUUCUUUCGAACCUGUUGCUCGUAUCAUUUUGUUUUUAAAAUGAAUAAAGAAAAACUUAUAGAAUAAUCGAAAAUUUGUGGACCACGCGAUAUCCACUCGUCGACCACGCGACGUUCAGUUGUUGACCACCCGAGGUUCACAAGUGACAACGCGGCACCCACCCGUGGAUAAGUUGUAGAAGAGUGGACGCCGAACGACGAGGUGGUGCUGGUUGGGUGCCGGGUGGCUCUAAUGAUCUAUGACCUUUAUACAUUACUAUGUAAAUAUCGAUCAAGUGAACAUGAGUAAGCUAAUGGAAACUUAAUAUGACAAGGUACGAUUAAUACAAUAAAACAGUUAAUAAAUAACAUUAAUUAAAAAAAUAAAUGAAACAUUUGUUCCUACUAUCUACAUAUCAAUCUAAUAUGAAUAAAUAACACAGCUCGCAUAAUUCAUAUACAUUUAGCAGUACGCUCACAGCGUGACUAACUUACGUCCCACGGCGAUAUUCGACGAAGUUAUGAGAUUAAUAGGAUGGCAAAGAGUAUAAUUAUUAUUCUUUGUAUUUUUGAGGAUUAGUGCACAAAUAUCCUGGGAACACUAAUAUAAAUAGUCGUAUUUAUAUUGUUCAUCGUUUAAAGUUAAAUCAAUGUAAAGUAAUUUAUUGAAUGACUUUGAUGUAACAUAAAUCACCUAAUUAAGUUUGCAGUCGUUAAUUUGUGCACAAACCCCCAGUGUCGUAUGAUGUAAAGCGUGAAUACGGCUUAGCUUUUAUAUAGUUCAGAAACGAAUUUUUUUUUUUUAUUAAACGAUUUUAACCAUAAGGCCUUUACAGUUAAUCGCGAACAUUUUAAAAGUAUCAUCAUCAUUCAUCACAUACCAAUAAGACUGCAGUCUUGGAUGUGAUGUGAUGAUAAAGGUCUAUAUUUCUGGCACUUAGAACAUUUUAAAUUCAAUAUAUUUUUAAUUAAAUUCAAUAGUCUGACACUGCUCGUUUUUGAACUGUAUGAUAGCCGAGACCCCGUUCACACGAUAACAACACGUCUUUUGCAGGAUAAGUGCCGACGUGCGGGUAGCA